AUUGAACGCUGGCGGCAGGCCUAACACAUGCAAGUCGAGCGGCAGCGGAAAGUAGCUUGCUACUUUGCCGGCGAGCGGCGGACGGGUGAGUAAUGUCUGGGAAACUGCCUGAUGGAGGGGGAUAACUACUGGAAACGGUAGCUAAUACCGCCUAACGUCGCAAGACCAAAGAGGGGGACCUUCGGGCCUCUUGCCAUCAGACGUGCCCAGAUGGGAUUAGCUAGUAGGCGGGGUAAUGGCUCACCGAGGCGACGAUCCCUAGCUGGUCUGAGAGGAUGACCAGGCACACUGGAACUGAGACACGGUCCAGACUCCUACGGGAGGCAGCAGUGGGGAAUAUUGCACAAUGGGCGCAAGCCUGAUGCAGCCAUGCCGCGUGUAUGAAGAAGGCCUUCGGGUUGUAAAGUACUUUCAGCGGGGAGGAAGGUGUUGAGGUUAAUAACCUCAGCAAUUGACGUUACCCGCAGAAGAAGCACCGGCUAACUCCGUGCCAGCCGCCGCGGUAA
rnacentral:rRNA from 1 species